AACGAACGCUGGCGGCAUGCCUAACACAUGCAAGUCGAACGAGACCUUCGGGUCUAGUGGCGCACGGGUGCGUAACGCGUGGGAACCUGCCCUUAGGUUCGGAAUAACUCCCCGAAAUGGGUGCUAAUACCGGAUAAUGUCUUCGGACCAAAGAUUUAUCGCCUUUGGAUGGGCCCGCGUUGGAUUAGCUUGUUGGUAGGGUAAAAGCCUACCAAGGCGACGAUCCUUAGCUGGUCUGAGAGGAUGAUCAGCCACACUGGGACUGAGACACGGCCCAGACUCCUACGGGAGGCAGCAGUGGGGAAUAUUGGACAAUGGGCGAAAGCCUGAUCCAGCAAUGCCGCGUGAGUGAUGAAGGCCUUAGGGUUGUAAAGCUCUUUUACCCGGGAUGAUAAUGACAGUACCGGGAGAAUAAGCUCCGGCUAACUCCGUG
rnacentral:rRNA from 1 species